CUGUCUGCGUGCAAGACUAUUGAUAGACACUAUGUCAAUGUCAGCAAGAUGUUGUCAACGAGUGGUUUUGGGUGGGAUUGGAUCCAUAACAAGCUUAUGGUUGAUAGUGAGGACGUGUGGAGAAACUAUGUCAAGGCAAACAAAGAUGCAGCAUGCUACAGGCACAAGGUCAUAAAGUUUUGGGACUCUAUCAGCCUUGUCUUCUCGAAGGAUCAUGCCACCGGAACCGGAGUCAGAACUGCUGGUGAAAGUGCAGCGGAAAUGGCUGCAGAGAAUGUCAACAACAUCAACACUGAUUCUGCCGCAACAUCUUCAACCCAAACCGGCGAGGAACAGAAGAGGAAAAGAUAUCGAUCGGAUGACUCAAUUGCAUCUAUGCUUGGAGAGAAAUUGGAUAAUUUUACCAGUGCCUACAAAGCUGAUAUCGCUCAAGUUGCUCCUCCUGAGAAACCCUCCUCUCCUGAAGAAAUACUUGACGCUCUCAAUGCAAUUGUGGGACUGGAUGAUGAUGGCUUGCUAGCAGCUUAUGAUAUCCUCAUAGCAGAUGACCGCAAGUUCAAGGCUCUUAUGGCGCUGCCUGAAAGGAUGAAGAAGAAAUGGAUCCUCAAGCAAAUCAACCAAUGA
rnacentral:rRNA from 1 species